rnacentral:rRNA from 1 species
GAUGAACGCUAGCGGCAGGCUUAACACAUGCAAGUCGAGGGGUAUUGGUUUUCGGACCAAGAGACCGGCGCACGGGUGCGUAACGCGUAUGCAAUCUACCUUUUGCAGAGGGAUAGCCCAGAGAAAUUUGGAUUAAUACCUCAUAGUAUAGUACUUUGGCAUCAAGGAACUAUUAAAGUCACAACGGCAAAAGAUGAGCAUGCGUCCCAUUAGCUAGUUGGUAAGGUAACGGCUUACCAAGGCUACGAUGGGUAGGGGUCCUGAGAGGGAGAUCCCCCCANACUGGUACUGAGACACGGACCAGACUCCUACGGGAGCAGCAGUGAGGAAUAUUGGACAAUGGGCGCAAGCCUGAUCCAGCCAUGCCGCGUGCAGGA